rnacentral:miRNA from 1 species
UCAAGUGCUAAUUGUUGUUGUA